GAAAUGCGAUAAGUAAUGUGAAUUGCAGAAUUCAGUGAAUCAUCGAAUCUUUGAACGCACCUUGCGCUCCUUGGUAUUCCUUGGAGCAUGCCUGUUUGAGUAUCAUGAAAUCUUCAAAGUAAAUCUUUUGUUAACUCAAUUGGUUUCUACUUUGGUAUUGGAGGUCUUUGCAGCUUCACACCUGCUCCUCUUUGUUCAUUAGCUGGAUCUCAGUGUUAUGCUUGGUUCCACUCGGCGUGAUAAGUUAUCUAUCGCUGAGGACACUGUAAAAGGUGGCCAAGGUAAAUGCAGAUGAACCGCUUCUAAUAGUCCAUUGACUUGGACAAUACUUUUAUGAUCUGACCUCAAAUCAGGUAGGACUACCCGCUGAACUUAAGC
rnacentral:misc_RNA from 1 species